AACAACAAAAUCAGACAGUAAAGCAUUUAUGGAUUGUUAACAUCCGAGUUAAUCGACUUUUAAAUAAACUAAUAGCUUAAUCGCAGUACAAGCGAAAUAUCACAGUAAAGGGAAAUGGUAACUCUCAAGAAAAUCUAGUCUCGAAUUUGCUGAGUUGUUUGGUAACAAUAAACAAAUGAGACAAUCAAGCUGAAUAAACAACCUCGAGCGUCAACAUUUCGAGUCCAUUCGCACCGAUCAGUAAAUAGCGAUGAUUAUUGUUUGACUAUUUGCGUAACAUGUCCCAAAAUAAAUUGCCGUUUUGUGAGAAUUGAGAAUGGAAACACUACUUGAAACUCGGUCGCUUAUCAAUGAGGUUCGGGUUCGGCAGAGGUUCCAGUUCUGCCUAUAAACUGAUAACGAUUGACUGGCAAUCUUUACCAGCUGCCGAUGCUGCCAAUUUUCCUCUAUCAAAUCAAAUGGAAAAGUUCGUGUAGCUCACAAGACAAGACAACGGAAAAUAACAAGUUAGCAAAUUGAAAGGUGCCGCCGACAAACGAGGUGCAGAGUUCAAAGAGUUGUGUUUUUUCUUAUUUAAUGAUUUUUUGGCGGCCUCUGUGCGGCUUCAAUUCAAUGCGGAAAUCCGUCAUGCAAAGUUGAACAACAUCAAAAGAAUCAACAAAAAGCCUGAGAGGAAACUGCAAAGAUCAAUUCAACGAAGUCUCGAUGCGCUUACUCGAUUGCAAGUCGGUAUAUCGUGUGUUGAAAGUAAAGUGAGUUUUGUUAGAAAGUAUUUAAAAUCAAUUUCUUUUAGAAUCAAACCGUUUGAACUUGCCGAGUUCCCUUUCUCUGUAGUGUAUUCGAGCUUGUCCACUGCAGCUGGUCAAAAGAUUUUGCAAUGCUGAGCGUGUGUUGUCUUUAAUGGAACUGCUGGGCAAGGUCAACAAGUUCGCUCUCGGACUCGACUCUUAACUCAACUCACCGCGGCUUGGCUUGGCUUAGCUUGGCGUUGAUUUGAAUACAAUCGCAUUGAGACAAGAA